GCUGGGUAUGGUGAUGCAUGUUUGUACUCCCAGCUACUCAGGAGGCUUGGGUAGGAGGAUCACUUGAGUCCAGGAGUUCUGGGCUAUAGCAAUCUAUGCUGAUCAAGUGUCCACACUAAUUUCAACAUCAACAGGGUGACCCUCCAGGAGCGGGGGACCACCAAGUUGCCUAAGGAGUGAACUAGCCCAGGUCUGAAACAGAGCAGGUCAAAACUCCUGUGCUGAUUUUAGUAGUAGGAUCACUCCUGUCAAUAACCACUACACCCUGGCCUGAGCAACAUAGUGAGACCCUGUCUCUU
rfam:Homo sapiens chromosome 1, GRCh38 reference primary assembly.